rnacentral:tRNA from 1 species
GGUAGAGUGGCCGAGGAGCAGGCGGCGAGUUGUAGCCUCGUUAACAGAGGUGAAAGUCCUCUUACUAUCA